GGAGCGUACAGCUCAGUGGUAGAGCACGUGCUUAGCAUGCAUGAGGUCCUGGGUUCAAUCCCUAGCACCUCCA
rnacentral:tRNA from 1 species